CACACACACUUGCAGCCUUCUGAAGUGGAGUGGUGGUACUGUGUAUGGGCAGAUGCCUGAAGCCUUCAGAUGAGGUCAUCAGAUCUGUGUCCACCGCCUUUAUAGCACUUCAUGUUAACUCAUAUGGCUGAAAGAGCCUUCUUCCAAAAUUACGUCUGGGUGAGAGAAAAACACUUAAGUAUCGCAACAGUGAGAGGAAGUAGCAGAAAAUUAAGCACCUGAGAUCAACAGUUUUGCAGAGAAUGGUUGAAUGAAGACACUUAAAAAGGUUUUGCCUCAAUGCACUUCAACAUAAGGUUUUAGAAGUCCAGUUCCAUAUUUCCACCAGCAUGUCAAAGGGUGGGCAGCAGAUGUUGUCGUAGAGGAAUUCACAUAAAUAUACGAUGUCACAGGUUUUGUUCAGAGUGAAACACUUUCUCCAGAAGAAGAGGCUGACAUCACUAAGCAAUCAUCAUUGACAAGAAAACCUGGCAGAAGAUGGUUUUAAAGAAGCAGCAGUGAUGAGCAUGCAGUAGUCUACACCAAAAUCCCUUCUAACUGCACAAGACAGACACUGCUAUUUAUAUGAUGCAGAAAGCCAGGAGACUCUAUCCACGGAUGCAACUUCUGAUCUCUAAAUGCUCAACUUGUCAGUGCCCUGCUCUGCAGUGGCAUGGGGAAAGGCACAGUGCUUAUUCCAAAGUGUGAAGAGAGAUCCACUUCCCAGGAGAAUUUGCAGCAGGACAUAGGGCAGCUGGGCAUGGAUCUACCUGCACACAGAGAAAUGAAGCCCCAUUAAUCUGGUUCUCCUUAAGCUCUGGGUCCUUUUUUUACCAAUUCAUAAUGAGGACUCUUGUCUGUAAAGGCUUCCAAUAUGGCACAUUUCAUGUCACUAACCCACCUGAAUGGACACUGUAUAGUAUCUCUUUAAUUUGUGGUUCGUUUGCACAGAAGAACACAAUUUUUGUGAAUAAAGCAAGCAGCACAAGUAAGAUUUGUUAUGCAGUUAUAAAAGAUGUAUAAGGUAAAUAAUGUAGGCAAUGUAGAUAAAACUAAUGUAGGCAAACGCAGGGAAGAAAACAACAAAUACCAGUUACAAACUUCUAACAGACCACUGUAGUUUGAUAUAUAAAUGCAAAUAAAUAGAAAUUAAUUUCUAUUUCACUCGCCUAUCAGUUCUGUUAGCUGCCAUUUCAUUGCUUGUAUUAUGGCUCUGCUACAAUAUAUGGGGUCUUCAAGGAGAGUGUAAUAUAGUAUUAUAAUAUUUCAGUGUUUUAUAAUGCUAAUAUACUGAAUUAAAAAGUGAACUUAAAGCAAUCUGUUUUAGUUAUCCAAUCUGCAGUUUUCAGUUCUGAGUCUUUAGAAUUCCCGAUCUAACUGUAUGUGCUGCCGACCAAUCCCACUGAUGUCCCUCACACCUUUGUUUUCAAAGUAGGCAUCAGUUUUUAAAAAAGUUAUAAGAUUACUUUGAAUUUGUGUUGGUAGAUAUGUAUGGAUAUUUCUGAGAGUUCAGGAUUAGUUGGGGGGGAAGCAAUCUUCAGUUUCAUGUCUAACAUUUACUUGACUUAAUGAAGCUGCUCUUUCUAGGUCAGCAACCUGCUAGGUUGCUGUACUCUAGACUGAGAACAUGGCCAGAACAAAUGGGGGUUCAAUUAUCAAAACCAUUCCCUCAAUUCAAAAUGCUGGUUUGUGACAUUAUCCUGCAUACUGUCUACAUUUCAUGUUUGAUUGUGAAUGCAAUGAAACUACCGCCAAUAAAAAACCAAACCAAAGGUG